GCUGGAAUCCUUCUUCUCCUCCUCUCUAUCCUCUUCAUGCAGAUGGAGCAGAUGCUUGCUCCUUUGCAUGCGUGCCUUGCCUCUUCUUUUGCAAGCUAGAAGAACACCAAGAUGACUUGAAUUUUAGGCACCUAGCCCAUGGGUGGGAUGGGAACCAUUGUGCAGUGUCGGACAGGGUGUGCUAUGCCAUGCUAGAGUACAAUAAUAUAUUAAUUCGUGUUAGCAU
rnacentral:lncRNA from 1 species